UACAGAGGGGGCAAGCGUUGUUCGGAAUUACUGGGCGUAAAGGGCGCGUAGGCGGCUUCGCAAGUGGUGGGUGAAAUCCCUCGGCUUAACCGAGGAACUGCCCUCCAAACUGCGUUGCUUGAGUCCGGGAGAGGUGAGUGGAAUUCCCAGUGUAGCGGUGAAAUGCGUAGAUAUUGGGAGGAACACCAGUGGCGAAGGCGGCUCACUGGACCGGAACUGACGCUGAGGCGCGAAAGCGUGGGGAGCAAACAGG
rnacentral:rRNA from 1 species